CAGUAGCCACGGGAACACGGAGGGUGCAAGCGUUAAUCGGAAUUACUGGGCGUAGAGCGUGCGUAGGCGGUUCGUUAAGUCUGUUGUGAAAGCCCCGGGCUCAACCUGGGAAUGGCAAUGGAUACUGGCGAGCUAGAGUGUGUCAGAGGAUGGUGGAAUUCCCGGUGUAGCGGUGAAAUGCGUAGAGAUCGGGAGGAACAUCAGUGGCGAAGGCGGCCAUCUGGGACAACACUGACGCUGAGGCACGAAAGCGUGGGGAGCAAACAGGAUUAGAUACCCCUGUAGUCCCUGUCUCUUAUAA
rnacentral:rRNA from 1 species